UUGAUGUACUAGGAGGCUGAGCAUUGGAUGGUUGGACCAAUGGCAGUGGCGUGCGUUGAGCUGACAAAGGAAAUGGGCCAGGAAACGCAGGUGGAUAUGGUAAAAGUUGCGGUCUAGACAAGCUUCCGAUUGGUGGAGAUUGAAGCCAGACUCCUUGAGGAGGGCCCACCAUGGGGGGAUUGGAAGCAUAGGUGCCAUAAAAUGGUUGCUGAGGUGUUACAGGAGUCCUUGGGACACCUGGAGGCGGUUGAAAAGGUGGUCCAGGUGGCAUCCUAAAUGGUGGUGAAGCAGUGUUCGGAUUUGAUGAUGCGGCACCUAAAGGCGAAUAAGCAUGCUGUGAAACAGGAUGAGGAACGGAUGUAGCAGGAGACACAGUAGGCCCGCAACUGGUGGUUUCCAUUAUAAGAAAAAUUAGCAGCAUCUGAUGCCACUUCUCUUGGAACAGCAACAGACGAAGGUGGUGGCCUGAC
rnacentral:lncRNA from 1 species